rnacentral:rRNA from 1 species
AUUGAACGCUGGCGGCAGGCCUAACACAUGCAAGUCGAACGAGUGGCGGACGGGUGAGUAAUGUCUGGGAAACUGCCUGAUGGAGGGGGAUAACUACUGGAAACGGUAGCUAAUACCGCAUACCAUCAGAUGUGCCCAGAUGGGAUUAGCUAGUGGGGGGGGUAACGGCUCACCAAGGCGACGAUCCCUAGCUGGUCUGCGAGGAUGACCAGCUACACGGGAACUGAGACACGGUCCAGACGCCGACGGGAGGCAGCAGUGGGGAAUAGUGCAAAAUUGGCGCAAGCCUGAUGCAGCCAUGCGGCGUGUAUGAAGAAGGCCUUCGGGUUGUAAAGUACUUUCAGCGGGGAGGCGUUACCCGCAGAAGAAGCACCGGCUAACUCCGUGCCAGCAGCCGCGGUAAUUC